rnacentral:rRNA from 1 species
UACAGAGGGUGCGAGCGUUGUCCGGAAUCACUGGGCGUAAAGGGCGCGUAGGCGGCUUGAUAAGCGUGCGGUGAAAGCCCGGGGCUCAACCCCGGGUCGGCCGUGCGAACUGUCGAGCUGGAGCACUGUAGAGGCAGGUGGAAUUCCGGGUGUAGCGGUGGAAUGCGUAGAGAUCCGGAAGAACACCGGUGGCGAAGGCGGCCUGCUGGGGCAGUGGCUGACGCUGAGGCGCGACAGCGUGGGGAGGCAAAC